CAAAGUCACCAUCCCCAAAACCUAGCAAUUUACUUUCAUAUUCCCUCUCCUCCAUAACCACAAAGUCAGAGAACCAAAUGGCUGUUCUUCAAGACCAGAAACAGAGCUCCUCUUGCCCACCAACAUCCAAGGUCCACUCUUUCUUUCUCUCUCUAAGAUAUGUUUACGGUUUUACUGGCAAACUGAGUAUUUGACUCUUUUAUUCACAAAUAAUUUUCAGAGUAAUAGGGGAAGACCACCAAAGAACAAGGAUGUUUAGGAAGAAAUCUUCAUCUCUCACUCAGUCACUGAUGACUAAAGGCAUUGUGACUAAAAUCUGUUUAGGUGGUUUUUUUUAUUUAAAAUAUUUGAUUAGGGUUUUGUGUUUUGAUUAAUUGAUUAGGGUUGUGUUUUGAUUAGUUGAUUAGGAAUGAGAGUGCUAUUGCUUUAAUGUUUCAAUGUAAUUUCGUCUAAAAAAUAAUUUUCAAACGUUUACACAAUGAACCUAUGGCCUAAAAAUCCUGAAUCCGCCACUACUUGGACAUGUACCGCAGUGCAAUAUGAGUUGCACGCGUAUGUAAAAGCCUCACUCUCUC
rnacentral:lncRNA from 1 species